GUGCUCACUCACUUUGCAGCACAUACACUAACACUUGAAUGAUACAGAGAAGAUUAGAACGGCCCUUACACUAGGAUGACAUGCAAAUUCAUGAAAUGUUCCAUAUUUUU
ensembl:snRNA U6 U6 spliceosomal RNA